rnacentral:SRP_RNA from 1 species
GCCAGGCGCAGUGAUGCGUGCCUGUAGUCCCAGCUACUCGGGACGCUGAGGCUGGAGGAUCGCUUGAGUCCAGGAGUUCUGGGCUGCAGUGCGCUAUGCCGAUGGAGUGUCCGCACUAAGUUCGGCAUCAAUACGGUGGCCUCCCGGGAGCGGGGAACCACCAGGUUGCCUAAGGAGGGAUGGACUGGCCCAGGUCGGAAAUGGAGCAGGUCAAAACUCCCGUGAUGAUCAGUAGUGGGAUCGCGCCUGUGAAUAGCCACUGCACUUCAGCCUGGGCAACAUAGCGAGACCCUGUCUCU